GGGAGGGGUGCAAGCGUUAAUCGGAAUUACUGGGCGUAAAGCGCACGCAGGCGGUUUGUUAAGUCAGAUGUGAAAUCCCCGGGCUCAACCUGGGAACUGCAUCUGAUACUGGCAAGCUUGAGUCUCGUAGAGGGGGGUAGAAUUCCAGGUGUAGCGGUGAAAUGCGUAGAGAUCUGGAGGAAUACCGGUGGCGAAGGCGGCCCCCUGGACGAAGACUGACGCUCAGGUGCGAAAGCGUGGGGAGCAAACAGGAUUAGAUACCCUGGUAGUCCACGCCGUAAACGAUGUCGACUUGGAGGUUGUGCCCUUGAGGCGUGGCUUCCGGAGCUAACGCGUUAAGUCGACCGCCCGGGGAGUACGGCCGCAAGGUUA
rnacentral:rRNA from 1 species